GUAAACACUGCUAGGGACUGCCACACCACUUAUCUCUACUGACAGCAAGGCAGAGAGAGGCCUGGCACAUUGUGCCUUCUGGAAAAAGGGAAUAUUCAGAACGUCUUUGUGAAGAACCACUGAGGUGGUGAAAGGAAAAGCUAAGGAAUGUCACAUGUGGUACACAAAUCCAUACCACAUGAAGAAUAUCUCAUGAAAGCUCUCUCAUGCUAUGAGAAAGCCAAGGACAAAACCAGACUUCUGGCUGCUUUGAAGACACCUGUUUGUAUUGGAACGGGCUGGACAACUCGUGAUUGCCCUUGAGCUGCAUUUUAAAGCUGACAGCAGCAAGCUAUCAAAGCUAACAAAGACACUGGGAUUGACUGAUAACAGCAGGACCUCAUUCUAUACCAGAGUGUCUUUGAUACAAAGUCUAUGGAAGGAGGAAAAGAAGUCAGCACUAACCCCUCACCUGGCCAUCCUGAUGGGGAAACAUCCUCCAGGUUUCUUAUGGUGCUGCUGGAUGUUUCCACUGAAAAGCUCCUAAGAGACCUUCAUUUCUUUCUGUCAGCUGUCAGCCAUAAUCUUACCACCAACGUGUAGCAGGGGAGGUGGAUCAGGAGUGGCUGUGGAUGAAGGAGCUCUUUAAGGCCCUGCUGCUAAACUAAAGUUCUCAGUCAUCCAGCUGUGUGUCUUGCUCUCUGCCUUGGAUGACACAAAAUGGCACAAAUAUUCCUAUUCUUUUCAGUUCACCAACUUCAAUAAUAAUACCUUACACUGAAAAUAAAUUGAAGAUUGUGAUAAUGA